GUGAAGGAUAAUGUUGCUUUAGCAACGGCCCGAAGGGCGAGGCAAAGCCGAGUCAUCCUGCACGACCCACCA
rnacentral:sRNA from 1 species